CCACUAUUGGAUGUGGUUUUAAACAGUUAGUCUUCAUAAGAGUCAAAUGCUUUUAUGUUUAAGGAUAAGCUGUGAAUGUACCAAGUUUACUUGGAAAUUGUGUGAUUUCACGCUGCUGAAAAAAGUUUCGUAGGAAGAAAAUAUUGCCCGUACCGCAAACCGACACAGGUACUCAAGUGGAGAACACUAAGGUGAGCGAGUGAACUAUUGUUAAGGAACUCUGCAAAAUGAGUCCGUAACUUCGGAAGAAGGACUGCUGGUUUUAUACCAGCCGCAGCAAAUAGGCCCAAACAACUGUUUAUCAAAAACACAGGUUUCUGCAAAAUCGUAAGAUGAAGUAUAGGGGCUGACGCCUGCCCAGUGCUGGAAGGUUAAAAGGAGGACUUAGCUUCGGCGAAGGUCUUAAUUGAAGCCCCAGUGAACGGCGGCCGUAACUAUAACGGUCCUAAGGUAGCGAAAUUCCUUGUCGGGUAAGUUCCGACCCGCAUGAAAGGCGUAAUGAUUUGGGCGCUGUCUCAACAAUAGACUCGGUGAAAUUUAAAUUCCAGUGAAGAUGCUGGGUACCCGCGACAGGACGGAAAGACCCCGUGGAGCUUUACUGUAGCUUGAUAUUGAAUGUUUGUGCUGCAUGUGCAGGAUAGGUAGGAGACUUUGAAGUCGGAACGCUAGUUUCGAUUGAGUCACCCUUGAGAUACUACCUCUGUUGUAUGAACGUUCUAACUCUGAUCAGUUAUCCUGAUCGAAGACAGUGUCUGGCAGGCAGUUUGACUGGGGCGGUCGCCUCCUAAAAGAUAACGGAGGCGCUCAAAGGUUUGCUCAGAAUGGUUGGAAAUCAUUCGUAGCGUGUAAAGGCAUAAGCAAGCUUGACUGUGAGACUGACAAGUCGAGCAGGUACGAAAGUAGGACUUAGUGAUCCGGUGGUUCCGUAUGGAAGGGCCAUCGCUCAACGGACAAAAGCUACCCCGGGGAUAACAGGCUCAUCUCCCCCAAGAGUCCACAUCGACGGGGAGGUUUGGCACCUCGAUGUCGGCUCAUCGCAUCCUGGGGCUGUAGUCGGUCCCAAGGGUUGGGCUGUUCGCCCAUUAAAGCGGUACGCGAGCUGGGUUCAGAACGUCGUGAGACAGUUCGGUCCCUAUCCGUCGUGGGCGCAGGAAAUUUGAGAGGAUCUGUCCUUAGUACGAGAGGACCGGGAUGGACAUACCUCUGGUGUACCAGUUGUUCUGCCAAGAGCACCGCUGGGUAGCUACGUAUGGAUUAGAUAAUCGCUGAAAGCAUCUAAGUGAGAAACUAACCUCGAGAUGAGAUUUCCCAUUCGUCAGAAGUAAGACCCCUGAGAGACGAUCAGGUAGAUAGGCUAGAAGUGGAAGUGUAGUGAUGCAUGGAGCGGACUAGUACUAAUAGGUCGAGGACUUAACCAAG
rnacentral:rRNA from 1 species